GACUUCCUCGUCUCGGGGAGCAUAGUGCGCUGUGAUCGUAAAGUGAGAGCACUGAUGCUGACACCCCAAGUUAUCUUGAAUAACCACCGCGCCCGGCUGCCGUAAGGGAGUCCGAGCGCAAUUUUUGAAAAG